rnacentral:lncRNA from 1 species
GAUAAUUUUUAUUUCUGGCAUGUUUUCUUGCAUUAGAACAAGGAUUUAGAAAAGCCCCGUGAAAGCCUAAUGGUAGGUCUCAUCAGAGAAAACCUCACAGACGCUCUCUGAUUUGGAGCAACAAAUAAUUGAUAACAGAUGUCAGGCACUGUGCUCAGGAUUGCAUGAAAUAUUUCAUGUAACUCUUGCAAAACUAUGUGAAAUGAGCACUAUUAUCAUCUCCAUUUUACAGGUGAGAAAAGGGAGGCUCAGAGAUUGUACAAACUUGCACAAGAAACUAAGAAAUUAUUGAUAGAGUGGAGCUUUGAAUGCCGGUCUGCCUCUCAAGCUCACAUCCUGUAAGCUGGUGUUAUAACCUGGAUAAAGGAUCUGAGUAUAUGAAUGUAUUCAAACAUGCUUGUAGAACUGCUCCAUGUUUUCACAGCUCAAAACAAGCGCUUCCAUUUUAAUUAUUUGUAAGUAUGUUUACAGAAAAAAAUGUGUCAACAACUUAAAAAUGGACAUAAUAGAAAUCAGGUGCAUGUCAAUGUUAGAAUGUUCAAUUUUUUAUUAUUAUUUUUGUCUUAAGCUGGGAAUUCCUUACCCAUCCCCAGUGAGAUUCAAGUCUCUUCAGCUCAAACUUGGCUCCCCAGUCAGCUCAAUUUCACCUCUUCCAGGACCUCUGCCUGACCCCAUUUGGAGUGACUUUUCUCUUUCUCUUGAUUUCACAUUAUUCUGUAUGCAGGGCCCCACAGCAUCUUGUCUCAUGUAAUAAUAAUGGUUCACAUUUGUCUUCUGCCAAAUAUCACAGCCUCCUUGCUGUGCCUCAUUCAGUUCAUCCCUGGAGGCUAGCAAUCUGCCUUGAGAUGGUCUCAAGGAAAACUUCUGAAGUGUUGCAGGAGGGGACCCCGUGACUCAAACCCAGUAAAGGUGGCUUAUGGGAAGAGACAUUUGGUGCUUUGUCCAGUUUGUGAAUCUUAGUACCAUUUGCAGGGGAUAGAUGAGAUAAAAAAAAAAAACCAAAAAG